GAUGAAGAACGUAGUGAAAUGCGAUAAGUAAUGUGAAUUGCAGAAUUCAGUGAACCAUCGAAUCUUUGAACGCACAUUGCGCCCGGCAGUAAUCUGCCGGGCAUGCCUGUCCGAGCGUCAUUUCUCCCCUCGAGCGCAGCUUUCCCCCCCGGGGGAGGGCCGCGCCCGGUGUUGGGGCGCUACGGAGGAGCCCAGCGCUCCCCCGUAGGCCCCGAAAUGUAGUGGCGGUCCCGCCGCGGCGCCCCCUGCGUAGUAGUUUUACAACUCGCAUCGGGUCCCGGCGGAGGCCAGCCGUCAAACCCCCCAACUUCAAUAGUUUGACCUCGGAUCAGGUAGGGUUACCCGCUGAACUUAAGCAUAUCAAUAAGCGGAGGA
rnacentral:misc_RNA from 1 species